GUAGGUGGCAAGCGUUGUCCGGAAUUAUUGGGCGUAAAGCGCCCGCAGGCGGUUCUUUAAGUCUGAUGUGAAAGCCCACGGCUCAACCGUGGAGGGUCAUUGGAAACUGGAGAACUUGAGUACAGAAGAGGAAAGCGGAAUUCCACGUGUAGCGGUGAAAUGCGUAGAGAUGUGGAGGAACACCAGUGGCGAAGGCGGCUUUCUGGUCUGUAACUGACGCUGAGGCGCGAAAGCGUGGGGAGCAAACAGGGAUUAGAUACCCUGGUAGUCCACGCCGUAAACGAUGAGUGCUAAGUGUUAGGGGGUUUCCCGCCCCUUAGUGCUGCAGCUAACGCAUUAAGCACUCCGCCUGGGGAGUACGGCCGCAAGGCUG
rnacentral:rRNA from 1 species